rnacentral:rRNA from 1 species
UACGGGGGGAGCAAGCGUUGUUCGGAUUUACUGGGCGUAAAGGGCGCGUAGGCGGCCACCGCAAGUCGACUGUGAAAUCUCCGGGCUUAACCCGGAAAGGUCAGCCGAUACUGCGGGGCUAGAGUGCAGAAGGGGCAACUGGAAUUCUCGGUGUAGCGGUGAAAUGCGUAGAUAUUGGGAGGAACACCAGUGGCGAAGGCGGCUCACUGGACCGGUACUGACGCUGAGGCGCGAAAGCUAGGGGAGCAAACGGG